rnacentral:rRNA from 1 species
AGAGUUUGUUUCUGGCUCAGGAUGAACGCUAGCGACAGGCUUAACACAUGCAAGUCGAGGGGCAGCGGGGUGUGGCAACACACUGCCGGCGACCGGCGCACGGGUGAGUAACGCGUAUGCAACUUGCCUAUCAGAGGGGGAUAACCCGGCGAAAGUCGGACUAAUACCGCAUAAAACAGGGGUCCCGCAUGGGGAUAUUUGUUAAAGAUUCAUCGCUGAUAGAUAGGCAUGCGUUCCAUUAGGCAGUUGGCGGGGUAACGGCCCACCAAACCGACGAUGGAUAGGGGUUCUGAGAGGAAGGUCCCCCACAUUGGUACUGAGACACGGACCAAACUCCUACGGGAGGCAGCAGUGAGGAAUAUUGGUCAAUGGCCGGGAGGCUGAACCAGCCAAGUCGCGUGGAGGACGAAGGUCCUAUGGAUUGUAAACUUCUUUUGUGCGGGAAUAAAGUCGGGGACGCGUCCCCGUUUGCAUGUACCGUACGAAUAAGCAUCGGCUAACUCCGUGCCAGCAGCCGCGGUAAUACGGAGGAUGCGAGCGUUAUCCGGAUUUAUUGGGUUUAAAGGGUGCGUAGGUCGCCGAUUAAGUCAGCGGUGAAAUCCAGUGGCUCAACCAUUGGACUGCCGUUGAAACUGGCCGGCUUGAGUAUGAUUGAGGCAGGCGGAAUGCGUGGUGUAGCGGUGAAAUGCAUAGAUAUCACGCAGAACCCCGAUUGCGAAGGCAGCUUGCCAAGCCAUGACUGACACUGAAGCACGAAAGCGUGGGUAUCAAACAGGAUUAGAUACCCUGGUAGUCCACGCAGUAAACGAUGAUUACUAGGAGUUUGCGAUACAGUGUAAGCUCCACAGCGAAAGCGUUAAGUAAUCCACCUGGGGAGUACGCCGGCAACGGUGAAACUCAAAGGAAUUGACGGGGGCCCGCACAAGCGGAGGAACAUGUGGUUUAAUUCGAUGAUACGCGAGGAACCUUACCCGGGUUUGAACGCAGGGGGACAGGGGCGGAAACGCCCUUUCCAGCAAUGGCCGCCUGCGAGGUGCUGCAUGGUUGUCGUCAGCUCGUGCCGUGAGGUGUCGGGUUAAGUCCCAUAACGAGCGCAACCCCUGCUGAUAGUUGCCAUCAGGUCAAGCUGGGCACUCUAUCGGGACUGCCUGUGUAAGCAGGAGGAGGGUGGGGAUGACGUCAAAUCAGCACGGCCCUUACGUCCGGGGCUACACACGUGUUACAAUGGGGCAUACAGCGAGUUGGCCGCUGGCAACAUCGGUCUAAUCCAUGAAAGUGUCCCUCAGUUCGGACUGGGGUCUGCAACCCGACCCCACGAAGCUGGAUUCGCUAGUAAUCGCGCAUCAGCCAUGGCGCGGUGAAUACGUUCCCGGGCCUUGUACUCACCGCCCGUCAAG